AGAAAAGAAGGCAGAGCACCAGGUGGCAAGAUCUGGGUGUGGCGAAAACUGCCUAGAGGGAUAGAAGCCAUCUAAGCCCCAGGCCAUCUCAGCAAGGCUGCCAACAGGCUGCUGACACUGGACAUUCUUCAACCUCUGGUGAUUCCGAAGCUGUGAAAGCUCAAGGGACAGCUGGGAGAGUGCACUGUGCCUACGAAGGGGCUGCUGGUCAUUUCUUGGGCCUGUUAGGAUUUCUCAAGAAAAAGGCUGGUAGGCAUCUUCAAACCUCAGUUCCCUCUGCAGAGGUAAAAGAGGAAGCAAAGAUACGGUUCUAAGGUUGCAGCCCACACUGUAAAGUGAACAUGUGGUGACUGGAUCCGGGUUCCUACUAAGAACAUGGACUAGGAAAAAGACCCUCAUGAGAAGAGUCUAGCAGGAAGAAAAUGGAAAGGUCAUCUCUAUCCAAAUCUCAAGAGCUAUGAUUGGCUGAGCUAGCCCUGGGGUGAUCCGUGAAAUGAAGGGAAACCUGACUCCAAUAACUGCUGCCAGGAGAAGCCUUGGGGGUGGAAGCCAAGCGUUCAAAUAAGAGGCGAAGUUGAGCAAGCAUGGCAGUCCUCCAGCAUUGGAAGGGACCAGAUGCACCUGCCCAGCCUACCCCAGGAACCAACCUGCUGUUACUCCUGGUUGAUUGAUCCCAGAGCUGAUGGUCAGGCCCAUGACUGGACUUCUUGUACCAUACAUGAACCCAGAGAAGACUUCUGCUUCUCACUCAAAGUUGUAUCUACUGUGGGAGGGUCUCACGAUGUAGUCCAGACUGACCUCCGGCUUACGAAGCUCCUGCCUCCACUUCCGGUGUGUUGCAAUUACAGGACUCUCAGGGUACAGGACUCAAGAGUCACAUGUCAGAGGCCCAAGAUUUCAAUUAGCUUCGGCUUCUUAUCAGCCUGCUCACCUCGGGACCUGCUGCGUCCUAGUCCGCAAAUGGGUUACAGAGAAAGGAGGCUCAAGCUACACUCUUCAGGACAGAGGCAGCACGGACUCAGCCAGACAUGGAAGUUUCUAGACAGAGACCGUCAAAGUGCUGUUCUCCAAACCCAAAGAAAAAGAUGGCUUCCAUUGUGCCUGUGAAAAUACUGAAUCGUUCACCGUCUUAAGUCACGUCUGGUUCCUUCUCCUUGCCCGGUGUCUUGCUCCUCUCGCUGCUCCACCUCCCGUUCCUCCUUCCUUCCAUUUCGAUCCUGGCUCCCACCAAGGUUCUCACACUCUAGAGUCCAUGUAUUUUUACCAGCUAAAGUCUGAUUAGUGCAAACCCUAGCCAUAUGGAAUAUGCUUUUCUAAACCAAAGUCAAUUCUUCCAUCUGCUGGGUCUCUUGAAUGACGCACUCCUCGUUUGACUUGGGAAUGUUAAAGUCCUGGGAAUCCUGAUCUUUGUCCUUUCAAGUAAUAAAAAGAGGACAAAUUUUCUAUUAAUCCUC